rnacentral:rRNA from 1 species
AUUGAACGCUGGCGGCAGGCCUAACACAUGCAAGUCGAACGGUAACAGGAAGAAGCUUGCUUCUUUGCUGACGAGUGGCGGACGGGCGAGUAAUGUCUGGGAAACUGCCUGAUGGAGGGGGAUAACUACUGGAAACGGUAGCUAAUACCGCAUAACGUCGCAAGACCAAAGAGGGGGACCUUCGGGCCUCUUGCCAUCGGAUGUGCCCAGAUGGGAUUAGCUAGUAGGUGGGGUAACGGCUCACCUAGGCGACGAUCCCUAGCUGGUCUGAGAGGAUGACCAGCCACACUGGAACUGAGACACGGUCCAGACUCCUACGGGAGGCAGCAGCGGGGAAUAUUGCACAAUGGGCGCAAGCCUGAUGCAGCCAUGCCGCGUGUAUGAAGAAGGCCUUCGGGUUGUAAAGUACUUUCAGCGGGGAGGAAGGGAGUAAAGUUAAUACCUUUACUCAUUGACGUUACCCGCAGAAGAAGCACCGGCUAACUCCGUG